GGGGAUGUUUUAGGAUUCGACAUUUUUGUUCGGACGAUAAGAAGCACGUCGCAGGUCCGGCUGCGUUAAAGACGGAAAAUUAAAAUUAAACGCAAAAAAUAACGAAAAAGUGAACGCUCCCGCGUUCGCAUUCGCCGCUUAAUUAACAGCGACACGCCGACCCUGUGCGCCUACUCCGCAGGCAAUCGGCGUCAUACAGGGUAGGGUACGAUUCUGCCCACGGCCGUAAGCAGAACCGUAUAACGGCCUCUUCAAAGUUGCAGACUGUCGGCGAACUGCAACGAGAGAACUCAAUCACCGACUAAACGUGUAGAAGGUAUCGGGCGGGUAAGGAUGAACCGGGGUUCAAAUCCCCGCAUCUCCACCA
rnacentral:tmRNA from 1 species